rnacentral:rRNA from 1 species
AGUGAACGCCGGCGGCAGGCCUAACACAUGCAAGUCGAACGGCAGCACAGGAGAGCUUGCUCUCUGGGUGGCGAGUGGCGGACGGGUGAGGAUAGCGUCGGAAUCUGCCUAUUUGUGGGGGAUAACCUCGGGAAACCGGGACUAAUACCGCGUACGACCUACGGGUGAAAGCGGAGGACCUUCGGGCUUCGCGCAGAUAGAUGAGCCGACGUCGGAUUAGCUAGUUGGCGGGGUAAUGGCCCACCAAGGCGACGAUCCGUAGCUGGUCUGAGAGGAUGAUAGGCCACACUGGAACUGAGACACGGUCCAGACUCCUACGGGAGGAAGCAGUGGGGAAUAUUGGACAAUGGGCGCAAGCCUGAUCCAGCCAUGCCGCGUGGGUGAAGAAGGCCUUCGGGUUGUAAAGCCCUUUUGUUGGGAAAGAAGAGCAGCCGGUUAAUACCCGGUUGUCAUGACGGUACCCAAAGAAUAAGCACCGGCUAACUUCGUGCCAGCCGCCGCGGUAA